UACGUAGGUGGCAAGCGUUGUCCGGAUUUACUGGGCGUAAAGGGCGCGUAGGCGGCGCAACAAGUCACUUGUGAAAUCUCCGGGCUUAACCCGGAGCGGCCAAGUGAUACUGUCGUGCUAGAGUGCGGAAGGGGCUACUGGAAUUCUCGGUGUAGCGGUGAAAUGCGUAGAGAUCGGAAAGAACACCAACGGCGAAAGCACUCUGCUGGGCCGACACUGACACUGAGAGACGAAAGCUAGGGGAGCGAAUGGG
rnacentral:rRNA from 1 species